UUUUCUUUUGAUAGAAUGUCAAACUUACGAAAAAAGUUACAAGAAGAGAACAAAGAGCUAUUAGAGGGUGUUGCUGACACAAUGCUUUAUCACUCUUGAAUAUUUUCGUGUGUAAUUCCUACAAAUAAGGACAUUCUCCCACAUAGCCACAAUACAACCAUCAAAAUCAGGAAGUUAACGCUGAUGUGUUUCUACCAUGUAAUCCUCAGAUCCAAUUCAAGUGUCACCAGCUGUCCCAAUAAUGUCUUUUAUAACAAAAACAUUCAGUCUAAGAUCACUCAUUCUAUUUAGUUAUCUUGUCUAUUCUUCAAUUUGGAAGUGUUCUUUGUUCUUUCCUGAAUGUUCAUGACCUUGACAUCUUAGAAGAUUAAAGGUUAUUUAAAGUUGUUGAGUUAAAUAUCCAUUAAAUUAGGUUUGUCAGAUAUUUCCUCGAAAUUAGAUUCAGCUUAUGCAUUUUUUGGAAGGAAUACCACAGAAGUGAUGUUGUUUUCUUUCUGUUGCAUCCAAUCAGAUGAUACAGGAUUUUGAUUUGUUCCAUUACUGUUGACAUGAAUUUUGAACAUUUGAUAAUGCCAGUAUCAGCCAGAUUUUUCCAUUGUAAAGUCAUUCCUUUGUCCUUUGUAUUUAAUAAGUAUGUUUAGGGACUUUGAGACUAUGUCAAUGUCCUGUUCUUCAUCAAAAUUCCACUCACUCAUUCUUAGUAUUCAUUGACGUUUACUGAUCGAACUAAUUAUUAUUAUGAUAGUUGCCAAAUGUUGGUUUUUCUAAUUCAAUCAUUUCUUUAGUGUUUAUUAGCAUUCUACUAUAAGGAAAAGCACUAUCUUCUCCCCAUUUAUUAAUUCACAUAUUUACAUCAGCUUGGAGUUAUUGAUUUCUAUUUUAUUAAAUAGUUUAUAAUUGAUUACCAUCCUUAUUUAUUUUAAUGCUCAAAUUGUCCCAAAUUAUGGCCAAAGAAAGCUCCUUCAAACUGGUUGCUAUGUCCUUUUGACAUGGCCCAUCAUUCUUUAAACACAUUUUACAUCUGGCACAAUAACGUGCUACAUACCCAUCUUGUAUUUUUCCUGCCCCAUCUUUGAAAUCAGCCAUUCUCAAGGGGUUCCUUCUUAAUCUGGCUGUUGUUGUGUUGGAACUCCUGGUACCAUCUUAGAACCUUAAGGAGACAAGCGAACCAAGCCAAUAAGCUUUCCAUGAUGCUGCUUAGAGUUAAACAGAGCCCAGGUACUAAGUUAUGUCAUGGAGACAGUGAACUAACCUCUGGACUGCUUGCUACAUGAGACAAUUGAUUUUCUUAUUUUCUAUGUAGGGUGGUACAUUUCCUCAUUUUGAGAUAUUUCUUCAACAUAUAGCUUUUCAUUAGUGGGGAUUUUGUCAAUUAUAACCAAAAACAAUGUGACGGAUACCCAAGAUGUUUCAUGUUGUAGCUUGGGUGAAUUACACAUUUCUGAAGCCAUUACACUUCCUAGUUUAUUUGGAUUUAAGUUGACAAAUAAAAAUUGCAUAUGUUUAUGGUCUAUAACAUGGUGUUUCGAUAUAUGUAUACAUCGUGGAAUGGCUAAAUCAAGCUAACAUAUCCAUUACCUCACAUAGUUAUUUUUUGUGGUGAGAACAUUUUAAAAAUAUUGUCUUAGCAAUUUUCAAUCAAGCCUGUCCCAUGGAGACACAAGCAAUAGUGACAUGAGCACUUGACUCGCUGGGUUAUCAGGCUUUGGCUCCAAAUGUUUGGCUUCAAAUAUGAAAAAGUUACAUGAAAGAUGAAACUAUGCAAUGGCAUGGCUGUUGGUCAUUCACAUCUCUCUCUGCCAAGAAUGGGGAUGACGCUGUUGAAGGAAGAAAUGUGUUUUCUCCUUUUUCUCAAGUGAUAUUUGCCUUAGGUCAGAUUCUACUAGUUUAAAGCAAAACGAUCUCCUGGUCUGAUUCCUUUGGGUCUCUAAUAAUGGAAACUGCAAGGAUCAGCAUAAAGUGUUCCUUUGUUCUGACGUUGGUAUAACAUUGCUUCUUGAAAAAUGAAAGUAUUUGGACAUACAGACAGAAGCAAUAUUAUUCAGGUCUUCCUUGUUGCAAGUGAGGGAAAUCCAAUUAAAACUGGUUUAAACCUAAAAAAAAAAAAAAGAAGAAAAGAAAAGAAAAAAUAUGAGAGGGGUUUUGCUUUCUGGAAUCUGCUUUCUAGUCAGAAAGUGCAGAAGAAGGGCUAGCUUCAGGAACAAUUGGAUGCAGUAGUUCAAAUCACAAGUUAAGUCUCUGCUUCUUUUCUCCAUCUCUCUUCUGUCUUCCUCCACACUGGCUUUAUUCUUAGGUAGGCUUACCCAGAUAGUCAUAAACACAGCCACCAGUGGCAGCUGGGCUCACUUUUGUCCUUGGAGCCAGUGAGCCCAUGAAAAAGGAGCUUCUCUUUCUGGAGCUUCCCAGGGGUAACUUUGAUCAGCCAACAAGGGUCAGUCCUAUGCUUAUCCCUUGACCAAUCUCUGUGCCCAGAGGGCAGGGUACUCUGAUUGGCAAUACCUUCAUCGUGGGCCAACCACUGUGGGGAAGGGGGAGGGAUUAGAAAAGACAGCCACACCCAAAUCUCAUGAAGCAGUCCCCUUUAUUUUAAAAAAGUCCCUGUGAGAGCAACAGGAGCAAAGCAUGGAGAAGAAGCAAUCUUGGAGAAGCUGGAAGAGAACUGACCCAAAGAAUCCAAGAGACUAAGACUGUGCAGGGUUGGGGAACGGAAGCUCACACAGGAGGCCUGGACAGAGCUGCAGCAGAGCCAGGAGAGAAGCCAAGUGGCACAGCUCAUCUUGAAGUAAUUAUAAUGCCACUAAAAUUCUCAUUUGUAUUAAUUUUUUUUAAUUACUGGCAAGAUAAGGCAAAUGUUUUUAAAGGCCUAAAUAAAAUGAUAUUCCCUGAA
rnacentral:lncRNA from 10 species